CAGCCGCCGCGGUAAUACGAAGGGGGCUAGCGUUGUUCGGAUUUACUGGGCGUAAAGCGCACGUAGGCGGACUUUUAAGUCAGGGGUGAAAUCCCGGGGCUCAACCCCGGAACUGCCUUUGAUACUGGGAGUCUUGAGUUCGAGAGAGGUGAGUGGAAUUGCGAAUGUAGAGGUGAAAUUCGUAGAUAUUCGCAGGAACACCAGUGGCGAAGGCGGCUCACUGGCUCGAUACUGACGCUGAGGUGCGAAAGCGUGGGAAGCAAACAGGAUUAGAUACCCCGGUAGUCCCUGUCUCUUAUAC
rnacentral:rRNA from 1 species